AGUCUGGUUCAUUUAAGAUAACGAAGCAUUCCAUUCGCAAAUAUUAAGCAAAUUACAACAAUUUACGAUUAACUAAGACUGUUAGUCAACUUUAUAGUUGUUAAUAUUUUGAAAUAAUAUCGCAGUGAAAUACUGACGUAUGCAGCCUAGAAAUGCGACCUCCGGAGGCUGCAGCUUUCUGAUUCAGAAACGGCCAAAGGGUUGAUCUGGGGACAGAGAUGGGUCGGUGUGAAGGUCUGAAGAGACCCCAGAGAUAAAGUUCAAUGCUAAUAAAGUCAUAUGGGGAUGGAAAAUAAUGUCUUUGGUCACACCGUGGCUGUGGUUUUGUUGCUGCACCUGCUGUUAAUUAAUUCAACAAAUAAAGAAUGAUAAAGUGACUUCUGGUUUGAAACCUAAAAUGACACACACUUUACUAUGCAUACAAACGUCAAAUUAUACAAAAGAUCCAACAUGUUCUAACGUCUGCCAACAUACGAGGAAUCAUUCAGAAUGGGUGUGACUUCAUUUUUUUAACAUGUCACUUCAUAUUUUAGGUGUGUACAGUUAUACUCUUUAAAUCCCCUAUAAAAACCUAAAAUAACAACGGAGAUUCAGAAAUGUUUAAGCAUACUUAAUGAGUAGAUAUCAUGGCAAUGAAGCUGUUCAAAUAUUAUAACAAUUGUUUCAAAAUGUUCAUAUUUAUAUGAGUUUUUGAUGUAAUCUUUUUUAGUGAUGCACAGAUGUAUCAGCCUACAGUCUGUACUCUGUAUCAGCAGAUAAAAGCAUUUUCCCCACAAUUUUUCCCAUUUUAUUUUGCCUACAUUUUAAAGAUCUGGGCAGAUUAGGGCUGCACGAUUAUGACAAAAAUCAUAAUUGCCGAUUAUAAUGAUAUCGAUUGUAUUGAUAUUGUAAUUGCGAUUAUUCUUGACGAUCAAUAGACUUUACAUUAAAGUUUGAAAAGUUUUAUAACUUUGUUUGAGGCAUCUGCAUGGUAAAUUCAAAACAUCCAGAAUUAAAUAAUAUAAUGUAAAUCACAUAAUUAUGGGAGUUAUGUUGUUAGUUAAAAUCCGAAACGAAUGUCUAAAGGACACGUCAACUCCUCAAUUUAGAAUCUCGGAAUCAUCGCAGUAUUUGGUGCCUAAACAUACUGCCGAAAUGCGCAGAAAUGAACACAAAUGGACAGCUAGUGUCGUUAUGGAUUUUAUGAUUAUGUAAUUACUUUACCUGCAAUUGUGUCAUCCUGAUCAAUUGUGCAGCCCUAGUAUAUUAUAUCCUUGCAAUCAAAAGAGGCGGAAAUGCAUCAGAACUCAUCCUGUGAGAUUAUUUUAAUUGGGUCACAAUAGCUGCGUUUCCAUUAAAGAUUUGCGCAAAACUUUAGCAGUAUUUUUUAAAUUUCGACUAAAAAACGAUUGCGAAAUGUCAAUUUUCCAUGUUUUCAAUGUUUUUUGGGACUAAAACGUGAUUUGGUUAUCUCGUCAUUCCAAAAAACAUGGCGUUGGGUGGGGCUGGGCAGUAUAGUGGUAUAUUCCGUUACCGUGAAAUAAAACAGAUUUUUCUAUUCCGUGUAUUCCACGUAAUGUAAAUAAAUGGGCGUGGCCAACUCGGCACUCCCGCAUGUUAAACUGAGUGUGACGGAGAAACAAGAAAUAAUCCACCCAUAGCAAAUGAAAGAGUAAUUUCUGAAAAAUCAUUAUGAUGCGGUUUCCCGGACAGGGAUUAGCUUAAACCAGGACUAGGCCUUUAAUUAGGAAAUAUAACUAGUUUUAACAAACAAGCCUUACUAAAAACAUUAUUUGUGUGCAUUUUGAGGCAAAACAAAGAGUACUUAUUUAUUUUAAGAUAUGUCAGAGCAAGUUGUUUUCAGAUUGGACAGCUCUUAAAAAAUGUUUAGUCUAGGACUAGUCUAAUCCCUGUCCGGGAAACUGCCCCAAUAAGUGCCAGUGAAUCGACCUUGGGUCUCUCUUGCUUGCUC